rnacentral:rRNA from 1 species
CACGUAGGGCGCAAGCGUUGUCCGGAAUUAUUGGGCGUAAAGAGCUCGUAGGUGGUUUGUUACGUCUGCUGUGAAAACCUAGGGCUUAACCCUGGGCUUGCAGUGGAUACGGGCAGACUAGAGGUAGGUAGGGGGAGAAUGGAAUUCCUGGUGUAGCGGUGAAAUGCGCAGAUAUCAGGAGGAACACCGGUGGCGAAGGCGGGUCUCUGGGCCGAUACUGACGCUGAGGAGCGAAAAGCGUGGGGGAGCGAACAGG